GCUGGAAUGGCGCAGUCGGUAGCGCAACUGAUUCGUAAUCAGUAGGUCGAGGGUUCAAGUCCCUUUUCCAGCU
rnacentral:tRNA from 1 species